rnacentral:rRNA from 1 species
UGCGUAGGCGGGUCUUUAAGUCAGGGGUGAAAUCCUGGAGCUCAACUCCAGAACUGCCUUUGAUACUGAAGGUCUUGAGUUCGGGAGAGGUGAGUGGAACUGCGAGUGUAGAGGUGAAAUUCGUAGAUAUUCGCAAGAACACCAGUGGCGAAGGCGGCUCACUGGCCCGAUACUGACGCUGAGGCACGAAAGCGUGGGAGCAAACA